rfam:Gloeophyllum trabeum ATCC 11539 unplaced genomic scaffold GLOTRscaffold_00002, whole genome shotgun sequence.
CCUUCGGUAGCUCAGUUGGAAGAGCGCAAGACUGUAAUGGCUUCUACGCUCAUGUGAGAGUGAUCUUGAUGUCGCUGGUUCGAUCCCGGCCCGAAGGA